rnacentral:rRNA from 1 species
UACGUAGGGGGCUAGCGUUGUCCGGAAUCAUUGGGCGUAAAGAGCGUGUAGGCGGUCCGGUAAGUCCGCUGUGAAAGUCAGGGGCUCAACCCCUGAAUGCGGGUGGAUACUGCUGGGCUAGAGUCCGGAAGAGGCGAGUGGAAUUCCUGGUGUAGCGGUGAAAUGCGCAGAUAUCAGGAGGAACACCGAUGGCGAAGGCAGCUCGCUGGGACGGUACUGACGCUGAGGCGCGAAAGCGUGGGGAGCAAACAGG